GAAAUGCGAUAAGUAGUGUGAAUUGCAGAAUUCAGUGAAUCAUCGAAUCUUUGAACGCACAUUGCGCCCUUUGGUAUUCCUUAGGGCAUGCCUGUUCGAGCGUCAUCUAAACCUUCAAGCCCUGCUUGGUGUUGGGUGCCUGUGCCGCCUCCGCGCGCGGACUCACCUCAAAUCCAUUGGCGGCCCCCGCGUCGGCCACGAGCGCAGCAGAAACGCGAACUCGUGAGCCCGUCCGGGCGGCUCCCAGAAGCUACACCCACCCAGUUUGACCUCGGAUCAGGUAGGGAUACCCGCUGAACUUAAGC
rnacentral:misc_RNA from 1 species